rnacentral:sRNA from 1 species
UAAAAUACAUUAUUAAUUUCCAAAAAAGUAACCAAUUAAAAUCAACAAAUUAGAUUUGAUAUCUAAAUUAUCAUAUUAAUUUUUUAUUAAUUAUUAUAGUUCACUUCUCAUCUUUAUAUGAUUCUAUUUUUGCGAAAAA